rnacentral:sRNA from 1 species
GGCUGCGUAUUUCUACUCUCAAGUUUUAGAGCUAGAAAUAGCAAGUUAAAAUAAGGCUAGUCCGUUAUCAACUUGAAAAAGUGGCACCGAGUCGGUGCUUCG